UCCGGCUUGACGCCGGCAGUCUCGCUAGAGUGCCCAACUUAAUGCUGGCAACUAGCAACGAGGGUUGCGCUCGUUGCGGAACUUAAUCCAACACCUCACGGCACGAGCUGACGACAACCAUGCACCACCUGUCACCAGUGCCCGAAGGGGGCCCCUAUUUCUAGGGGCUUACACUGGGAUGUCAAACCCUGGUAAGGUUUUUCGCGUAGCAUCGAAUUAAACCACAUGCUCCACUGCUUGUGCGGGCCCCCGUCAAUUCCUUUGAGUUUUAACCUUGCGGCCGUACUCCCCAGGCGGAACACUUAAUGCGUUAGCGGCGGCGCCGAAGGGGUCGAAGCCUCCGACACCUAGUGUUCAUCGUUUAUGGCCAGGACUAC
rnacentral:misc_RNA from 1 species